rnacentral:SRP_RNA from 2 species
GCUGGGUGUGGUGGCGUGUGCCUGUAGUCCCAGCUACUCGGGAGGCUGAGGUAAGAAGAUCACUUGAGCCCAGGAAUUUGAGGCUGCAGUGAGCUGUGAUUGUGCCACUGCAUUCCAGUCUGGGCAACAAAGAGAGACUCUGUCUCUU